rnacentral:rRNA from 1 species
AGAUUGAACGCUGGCGGCAUGCCUUACACAUGCAAGUCGAACGGCAGCACGGGAGCAAUCCUGGUGGCGAGUGGCGAACGGGUGAGUAAUACAUCGGAACGUGCCCAAUCGUGGGGGAUAACGCAGCGAAAGCUGUGCUAAUACCGCAUAAGAUCUACGGAUGAAAGCAGGGGAUCGCAAGACCUUGCGCGAAUGGAGCGGCCGAUGGCAGAUUAGGUAGUUGGCGAGGUAAAGGCUCACCAAGCCUUCGAUCUGUAGCUGGUCUGAGAGGACGACCAGCCACACUGGGACUGAGACACGGCCCAGACUCCUACGGGAGGCAGCAGUGGGGAAUUUUGGACAAUGGGCGAAAGCCUGAUCCAGCCAUGCCGCGUGCAGGAUGAAGGCCUUCGGUUGUAACUGUCUUUGUACGGAACGAAAGUACUCUUUCUAAUAAAGAGGAUCAUAGACGGUACGUAAAGAAUAAGACACCGCUAACUACGUACG